rnacentral:rRNA from 1 species
AUUGAACGCUGGCGGCAGGCCUACACAUGCAAGUCGAGCGAAAGAGUGUGCUUGCACACUCGAAAGCGGCGGACGGGUGAGGAACGCGUGGGAGUCUGCCUGUAGAUGGGGGAUAGCCCGGAGAAAUCCGGAUUAAUACCGCAUAACACCUGAGGGUUAAAGUGGAGGAACGCAAGACUUCACGUCUACAGAUGAGCCCACGUCAGAUUAGCUAGUUGGUAGGGUAAAGGCCUACCAAGGCGACGAUCUGUAGCUGGCCUGAGAGGGUGGCCAGCCACACUGGAACUGAGACACGGUCCAGACUCCUACGGGAGGCAGCAGUGGGGAAUAUUGGACAAUGGGCGCAAGCCUGAUCCAGCCAUGCCGCGUGUGUGAAGAAGGCCUUCGGGUUGUAAAGCACUUUAAGUUGGGAGGAAGGUUCGAUGGCUAAUAUCCAUCGGAAUUGACGUUACCAACAGAAUAAGCACCGGCUAAUUCCGUGCCAGCCGCCGCUGUAA